GUGGGGAAUAUUGGACAAUGGGCGAAAGCCUGAUCCAGCCAUGCCGCGUGUGUGAAGAAGGUCUUCGGAUUGUAAAGCACUUUAAGUUGGGAGGAAGGGCAGUAAGUUAAUACCUUGCUGUUUUGACGUUACCGACAGAAUAAGCACCGGCUAACUCUGUGCCAGCAGCCGCGGUAAUACAGAGGGUGCAAGCGUUAAUCGGAAUUACUGGGCGUAAAGCGCGCGUAGGUGGUUCGUUAAGUUGGAUGUGAAAGCCCCGGGCUCAACCUGGGAACUGCAUCCAAAACUGGCGAGCUAGAGUACGGUAGAUGGUGGUGGAAUUUCCUGUGUAGCGGUGAAAUGCGUAGAUAUAGGAAGGAACACCAGUGGCGAAGGCGACCACCUGGACUGAUACUGACACUGAGGUGCGAAAGCGUGGGGAGCAAACAGGAUUAGAAACCCCAGUAGUCC
rnacentral:rRNA from 1 species